GAGAGGAAAAGGUAACUAGCAGUAACACUGACAGAAAGCUCCUAGUCUGAUUUAGAUUGAAUAUGUCACCAAAACCCCUGUAAUUUCUUACCUUCUCAGAUCUCUUCACUGUUCUUUCUCUAUCUGCCCAAGCACUCUAAAAUGAAAUGAAGCAUUAAAUCAGACUCGAGGUUGUGGAGAUCUAAAGCAAUUCCAUUUCUAGCUGCAAAAAUCUCUCUUUUAACUGCAGUCCCCCAGUGGGUUAGGCUCCUGUUGCAGUCCCACUUCCUUCACACUCCCAUACCCCCCUUGUGCCAUGUUAACUGAUUUAAGCAAAGAGCCAUUCCACUGCAUUGUACAGAUACAAGGACUUGGAGAUGUGGACAUCAGAUGCAGUUGAACACUAUGUGGAUAACAUACCCGAAGUGCAUCCAUCAGGUCUGGCUGAUCCAUGAGUUGAGGGAAAGUUGCUAGAAUAGGAUUACAGAUUAAAUCUGAAACAGCAAACAAACACAUUCAAGUUUAAGGAGGAAAUGGGAUGACUCUCAAGGUACUGACAUGUCAAGUUAUUCAGCACCUUCCCUCCCCUCAGACUAUUCCAGAGGGAAGACUGGCUGUAAUAAUACUUCAGUGCAGUGGGGAAGGUGGAAGAACUCUCUGACUGCAUCCUCUGUAGCAAGCUCCCAGUGGCUGAGAGACAGUUAACUGGGAGAGGAGAGGCACAAACCCAACUGCUCUGUUAGAAGCCAGAGACCUUUCAGGUUCCCCCUAGGGGCAGGCUGAGGUUUUCCUCAUUUCCACACCUGUCUUUUUAUAAACACCUGGAAUUGUGCUGCUUGGCUUGGAUGUUGUGAAUAAACACACGUGUUCUGCCUUAACCUGCCUUGUCUGGUGCGCCAUGUUCAUAGAGUCCCAGCAUCAGCCAGGCUGGAAAAGACCUUUAAGAUCACCAAGUCCAUCUCUCCAUCAAGAGCCCAACUCCCUCCUGGCUCCAUCCUCCUGUCAGGCACUUGUAGGGAGCAAUCAGGUCCCCCCGAGCCUUCUCUUCUCCAGACUGAACCCCCCAGGUCCCUCAGCUGUUCCCCAUCACACUUGGGCUCCAGGCCCUGCACCCAAGGGUUUCAGGUAACUGGGUAAGGAGCAGCACAGUGCAUUGACUGAAUGGGGCACAUCCCAAAUGGUACUGGGCUCCUCAUGGGUCUCCUGUUGGAGCUGAGCUGUUUCACAGCCAGGCAAGGCAGAGCUCAGAGCUGCCUCCCCUUUCUCCGUUACAAAGCACAGCAAGUCUUGAGCCCCAGAGGCACAGAGGUCCUGUGCUGUCAGCAUUUAGUUAAUGAGAUUGGGGAUAAGGUUACAAGAGUGCCACAAGUGCCAUACAGUGGAAUGCUGGUUGAGGUGUUUUCUUUCUCUUGUCAUUUGAAGUAUUUGUUUCUUCAUGUUGAAGUUGGUGGGUAGUUUAGUGAACAUCAUUUGCUGUUAACGUCGCAGGGAAGCAAGCCAGAUCUGAUCACUCCUGUGAAGUAUAAUGGGCAUUUCAAGAUGCCUGUUUCUGAAUUGUUGGCUGGUUUUGAAAUAAGAGAAAUCUUAUUUUCUUACACCAGAAAACGGCUACCAGAACAAUGGCUGAAAUGCUGGGGUAAAGCCUUUAACUCAUUUCAAACAAAGACUGAAUCCAAAUGGAUGCAGUUUAACUCCAGGAGAGGCCAUCAGCCUGAUCUGGUGUCCUACAUUACAAAGAUCAAACCAAGUAAGUACAGCAGUUCAAAACUGGCCUUCCAAAAUGAAGUGUUUUAAUGUCUCUGAGAUGAGUUUAUUAAAUAAGGCAUUAAUUUAGAAAAGGGGCUGACUCUCAGGUACUGAAAUCAAGUAUACACAGGGUGUAUAUUAAAGGUCAAGAAAAUCAGGAAGGGAGUUAAGGUCUGAGCACCUCUGAGAGAUGAUUCUGUAAUUCAGAUGCCUACGUAUGGUUGAAGAUUGGAAAGUUUUAAAUGUCAGUAAGUGCACAAGCAAGUUUAUCUGCCUUAGGAAUGGGGGAUAAUUCAGUCUGGAGAAGACACAAGAAAAUCACUUCCCAGCACCAAUAUAAAUUCACCUGUAGCACAGUUUGUAGUGCAGAAAUGUAUUUAUUCCCUAUUUCAAAGCGAUUUUAAAAUGGAGAAGACCAUGAACUGCUACAGUCCUGUUGAAGGGAAGAUGGGGAAGGAGUAAGAUAGAGAGUUGUGAAAUCAGAGCAAGACACUGAGUUCUAAACCCAGAACUCUUCCUCUUCUGUCUCUCCCUGCUGCAUCAGCCAAGAAGUAAAUAAUAAUUAAAACAGCCUAAAGAGGAUGACUUGGCCUCAAGGACAAAAACAUCUGCCUCAGCUCCUCUAUAACCCAGAACACGCAUACACUGGAAAUGAAUGAGUAAACCUGUGUGCAGGUCUGAUUUCUCAUUGUAGGGGUGGUGAAAAGGAAACAUUCAUCUUCCAAAUAAUCCUUUACCUUUAUUUGCUUCUUAUUUACUUAGAAAUAACCCUUUACCAAUCCAAAUAGACUUUAAUGAGAAUUUCCCUCAAAGCACUUCAUUUGCUACAUGAACUGAUGUCAAAUAGGGCAAUAUUUUAACUCAUAGUAGAUAUGAGUUAAAAUAUUACUGGUUUGAAAUGCAAACAGGCUUCCCAGCAAGAGGCUGUUCUCUUUUAUCAGCUGGACAAGUUUGUGUUUGUCCCCACAACACCUCCAGACUGAAAGGCAAAACACUGAGCUCCACAGGAGCAGCUCUUACCUGUGCUUUGCAGGCUUACUCUGUCUUUCAGGAGUGCAUCACCAAGGAUUUGUCGAUAGAAUAGCAGGAGAUGGCUGUAGCACAUGCUGCCAAUGAGUGUUUCUGGGAGCAAACUGAGUGAAAACAACAUGCAGUUGAGACUGGCAGCAAAAACUGCUCCUAGGAAGCAUUGUUCACCAAAACCUGAGGUGUUGAGAAGAAACCAUACCUCUUCUUGAUAUUGAUGGGUCAACCUCGACACCUCUCUCACAGGGAGUCCCACCAUUUAAAGGCAGCUCGUACAUCCUGUGAAAGAAGAGCAGCAUGGUUGAAAUAAAGAGGUGUGAGGAUGUGAGAGAACAGCACAACCACUGGCUGAGAAGGAAAACCUGCUGUCAAACAAAACCUGACCCAGUGCUUGGUGUAUGACUAGUGUUUGCCACGAAAUGACUGCGCCUACUGAAGUAACCAAACCUCAAAUGCCAAACAACUCACCCGGUUGCCAUCGAAGAGGCAGAGCCGAACGUGUCUGCUGAGAACCUGAAUGCUGACCCCUGGAAGAGGAAUCAUUUUACAGCCACAUAAAGUUACAAUCAGGGAUACUCGAGUUGGUCUGGGA